rnacentral:rRNA from 1 species
CGUACACUCCUACGGGAGGCAGCAGUGGGGAAUUUUGGACAAUGGGCGAAAGCCUGAUCCAGCCAUGCCGCGUGCAGGAUGAAGGCCUUCGGGUUGUAAACUGCUUUUGUACGGAACGAAACGGCCUUUUCUAAUAAAGAGGGCUAAUGACGGUACCGUAAGAAUAAGCACCGGCUAACUACGUGCCAGCAGCCGCGGUAAUACGUAGGGUGCAAGCGUUAAUCGGAAUUACUGGGCGUAAAGCGUGCGCAGGCGGUUAUGUAAGACAGUUGUGAAAUCCCCGGGCUCAACCUGGGAACUGCAUCUGUGACUGCAUAGCUAGAGUACGGUAGAGGGGGAUGGAAUUCCGCGUGUAGCAGUGAAAUGCGUAGAUAUGCGGAGGAACACCGAUGGCGAAGGCAAUCCCCUGGACCUGUACUGACGCUCAUGCACGAAAGCGUGGGGAGCAAACAGGAUUAGAAACCCCGGUAGUCCCAUG